GGGAAACUCACCAGGUCCAGACAUAAGUAGGAUUGACAGAUUGAUAGCUCUUUCUUGAUUUUAUGGGUGGUGGUGCAUGGCCGUUCUUAGUUGGUGGAGUGAUUUGUCUGGUUAAUUCCGCUAACGAACGAGACCUUAACCUGCUAAAUAGUUGUGCCAACUUUGGUUGGCAUCGACUUCUUAGAGGGACUAUGGAUGUUUAAUCCAUGGAAGUUUGAGGCAAUAA
rnacentral:rRNA from 1 species